CAGCAGACUGGAAGCAGCAGAUUAGGAAGGCCGAGGGACUGCUUCGGGAAGGCCCACUGACGGCAGAAAAGUGACAGGUUGCAGCCCAGCGACAAGGGAGGCAAGAGAAAGACUAAAAAAAAAAAAGCAGGAACAAAAAGUCAAAAGGCACAGCAGUCUGGGGCAUUUACUAAAAGACAAAGAGCCUCCUCAGGUUCUAACGUUCCCAUGGACCAGCCCUGCUGUCGUGGUCUCUAUGAUUUUGAGCCAGAAAACCAAGGAGAACUAGGAUUUAAAGAAGGGGACAUCAUUACAUUAACCAAUCAAAUAGAUGAAAACUGGUAUGAAGGGUUGCUACACGGGGAAUCUGGAUUCUUCCCCAUUAAUUAUGUUGAAGUGAUCGUGCCUUUACCUCAGUAAAUGUGUAACUCACACUUUGGACAUACUUUCAUAACUGAAAUGAAUUCACACCAGUGUUCUCUCAGUGUGUCUGUGACAUCCUUGUUCUUGGACCAACUUAAUGACUUUUGUUUGUGCUUUCUCUUUGUAAUGUAUUUUGUAUCUGUUUCAUUUGUAUAAAUGAUUUUCCCAUCUUAGCUACAUGAAACUAUAGUUUUCUUUUUUUUUGCUUAUUGUCCUAAAAGUCAUCGGUCAAAUAAAUGAAUGUGCUUCUUGUUGCUAAAAAUAAAUUGCAGUUAUGUCCAUGAAUUGCCCGUUUAUAUCCCUCAGCUGCAACGGAAUGCAAAAUCUGAAACUUAAGAAAUGCUAAAUAUUUUGUUUCCUGACAUUACUGAUGUCAUCUGGUCUUUCCUUAUGUUUUAGCUGACUGUGAAUCGCCCAAUAAAUAUGACACACCGUA